rnacentral:rRNA from 1 species
UACGUAGGGGCCGAGCGUUGUCCGGAGUUAUUGGGCGUAAAGCGCGCGCAGGCGGCCUCGCGCGCCCGACGUGAAAGCCCCCGGCUUAACCGGGGAGGGUCGUUGGGGACGGCGGGGCUUGAGGGCGGGAGAGGUCGGUGGAAUUCCCGGUGUAGUGGUGAAAUGCGUAGAGAUCGGGAGGAAUACCGGUGGCGAAAGCGACUCUCUGGACGGCAACUGACGCUGAGGCACGAAAGCGUGGGGAGCAAACAGG